rnacentral:misc_RNA from 1 species
AACGAGGCCGACCUGCGGCUGAGUUACCUGCGGAGGGAUCAUUACACAAUAACAUAUGAAGGCUGUACGCGGCUGCGCCCUCGGGCCAGUUGGCUGAGGCUGGAGUAUUUAUUACCCUUGUCUUUUGCGCACUUGUUGUUUCCUGGGCGGGUUCGCCCGCCACCAGGACCACAUGAUAAACCUUUUUUUAUGCAGUUGCAAUCAGCGUCAGUACAACAAAUGUAAAUCAUUUACAACUUU